rnacentral:rRNA from 1 species
UAGGGAAUCUUCGGCAAUGGGGGCAACCCUGACCGAGCAACGCCGCGUGAGUGAAGAAGGUUUUCGGAUCGUAAAGCUCUGUUGUAAGAGAAGAACGUGUGUGAGAGUGGAAAGUUCACACAGUGACGGUAACUUACCAGAAAGGGACGGCUAACUACGUGCCAGCAGCCGCGGUAAUACGUAGGUCCCGAGCGUUGUCCGGAUUUAUUGUGCGUAAAGCGAGCGCAGGCGGUUUAAUAAGUCUGAAGUUAAAGGCAGUGGCUUAACCAUAGUUCGCUUUGGAAACAGUUAAACUUGAGUGCAGAAGGGGAGAGUGGAAGUCCAUGUGUAGCGGUGAAAUGCGUAGAUAUAUGGAGGAACACCGGUGGCGAAAGCGGCUCUCUGGUCUGUAGCUGACGCUGAGGCUCGAAAGCGUGGGGAGCGAACAGG